GGUUAAAAUUUUUAAUUAUUUCUACUAUUAAAAUUCGGUGUGGUUAACAAAAUAAUUAAAUAAUUACAUAUAGUAUAUCACAUGUACCACAUGUUGAUGUACAAUGACUAUUUUUUAACAGUAAAAAUAGAUAAAAUUUUUAAUU
rnacentral:pre_miRNA from 1 species